rnacentral:rRNA from 1 species
GUGGGGAAUAUUGGGCAAUGGGCGAAAGCCUGACCCAGCAACGCCGCGUGAAGGAAGAAGGUUUUCGGAUCGUAAACUUCUAUCCUUGGUGAAGAUAAUGACGGUAGCCAAGAAGGAAGCCCCGGCUAACUACGUGCCAGCAGCCGCGGUAAUACGUAGGGGGCAAGCGUUGUCCGGAAUGAUUGGGCGUAAAGGGCGCGUAGGCGGCCCGGUAAGUCUGAAGUGAAAGUCCUGCUUUUAAGGUGGGAAUUGCUUUGGAUACUGUCGGGCUUGAGUGCAGGAGAGGUAAGCGGAAUUCCCGGUGUAGCGGUGAAAUGCGUAGAGAUCGGGAGGAACACCAGUGGCGAAGGCGGAUAGCUGGCCAGACACUGACACUCAGACCCGAAAGCGUGGGGAUCAAACAGGAUUAGAUACCCGGGUAGUCC